GCGGCUAUGGUUCAUCGGUAGAAUAUCUCCUUGCCAAGGAGAAGAGGCGGGUUCAAUUCCCGCUAGCCGCU
rfam:Microgenomates bacterium GW2011_GWB1_45_17 TX00_C0011, whole genome shotgun sequence.